rnacentral:rRNA from 1 species
UACGUAGGGCGCAAGCGUUAUCCGGAAUUAUUGGGCGUAAAGAGCUCGUAGGCGGUUUGUCGCGUCUGCCGUGAAAGUCCGGGGCUCAACUCCGGAUCUGCGGUGGGUACGGGCAGACUAGAGUGAUGUAGGGGAGACUGGAAUUCCUGGUGUAGCGGUGAAAUGCGCAGAUAUCAGGAGGAACACCGAUGGCGAAGGCAGGUCUCUGGGCAUUUCCUGACGCUGAGGCGCGAAAGCGUGGGGAGCAAACAGG